rnacentral:rRNA from 1 species
GACGAACGCUGGCGGCGUGCUUAACACAUGCAAGUCGAACGAUGAAGCCGGAGCUUGCUCUGGUGAAUUAGUGGCGAACGGGUGAGUAACACGUGAGUAACCUGCCCUUGACUCUGGGAUAACUGCGGGAAACUGUAGCUAAUACCGGAUACGACCCUCGGAGGCAUCUCCUGGGGGUGGAAAGAAUUUCGGUCAAGGAUGGACUCGCGGCCUAUCAGCUAGUUGGUGAGGUAAAGGCUGACCAAGGCGACGACGGGUAGCCGGCCGGAGAGGGUGACCGGCCACACUGGGACUGAGACACGGCCCAGACUCCUACGGGAGGCAGCAGUGGGGAAUACUGCACAAUGGGCGCAAGCCUGAUGCAGCAACGCCGCGUGAGGGAUGACGGCCUUCGGGUUGUAAACCUCUUUUAGCAGGGAAGAAGCGAAAGUGACGGUACCUGCAGAAAAAGCACCGGCUAACUACGUGCCAGCCGCCGCCGUAA